GGCCUGGUGGUGUAAUGGUAACACACCUGCUUUGUAUGUUGUGAUCCGUUUCAAAGUUUCUGUGGGAGAUCCUUGUUCAAUUUGAGGUCAGGCCA